GUUUGCUUGAGUGACUGCGCAGCAAGACUCUGUGCUGGAGAAAGCCACGCCCCUCGGGGGGAGGCGCCGCCGCCACGCGCGUGCGGCCCGGAGGGUGUCGGGAGCAGGGGCCGCGGGCGGCAGCUGACGGGCGGGCCCUUCCGGAGGCGCCGCGCCUGGACCGUGGCCGCAGGUUGGGCAGCGCCAGACGCAGAGCCCUGUGCCGCUUGCGUCCCCGGGCUUCCUGCCCGACAAGGACGGGGGGCCGGACAGAGAGCCGUGUCGGCCGAGACCCGAAUCCGGGAUCAGGUUUGUGUUUCUGUGGACACGUCUGCCCACAAAGAGGGCAGUGGGCAAUUGUUCUCUUCACCAGAGAAUGGUUUUUGUCAACGUUCAGUGAGAUCAUUUCACCAGUGAGGUGGCCACAGCGGCGCUUUCUCUACCCAAACCUCGCUUCCUCUCGCUGAAGGGGUUCCAGUCUCGAUCAUCAGUGAAGUCCUUCCACAUCCAUGGGGCGUCCACCAACUAGGAGCUUAAUCAACACAACGCUGUGGCCUCUCCAGCUCAGGGACGUGCCUUUCCCGUGUCUUCUUCUCACACACAAACGUAGCCUGCAAGGAAGGUCAGGUUCAAUGCACGGAAUCUACCCUGCUGCCCGCUAGGAGGUCAUAUGUGUAUCACAGACCCGCAGAGAAUGCUCUCCACAGUACAUGAAGCGCGGUACAAAUGGAAUGAGUGUAACGGGCAUUCUCUGUUUGAAAAAAGUUAUCCCAAUUGAAUAGUCGGUAAUUUCUCUUUAUUGUAACCCAAUAGAUCACAAAAUGCAACCUGAGGUUUAAGCUGAGGGGUGGGGCGUUUGCAGAGGGCUGUGUGGUGGAGGUUAGGUUAGGUUUGCAGACGGCUGUGUGGUGGAGGUUAGGUUAGGUUUGCAGAGGACUGUGUGGUGGAGGUUAGGUUAGGUUUACAGAAGGCUGUGUGGUGGAGGUGGGGCCUUCUCCCUGCCCCACGGUGGUCCCAUGCAGCCCGCAAAACACCCAUGUUCGGCACGGGUCCAGUGACCUCAGCAGGGAGGCAGCUCCCUGAUUACAAGACCAACUUUUGUUCUUGGACCAAAGCUGAUUUUGCCUUCUCUGUAGGAUGAUUGCGCAAAAGGUCACCAGAGUCAUUCUGAAAGCAGCAGGAGUUCUGAGGCUUCUGUUCGCUCCAAUUUACUUAACAAAGGGCAUUCAGGUGGAUUUGUUCAGGCUGUGCUUUAUGAUUCUCUGAAAAUUAAAAAUCCUUCCUGUGAUGUAACCAUGUGGCAGACGGAGAAUCUGCCUCAAUGUAGGAGUUAAAGAUUUGAACUCCAAGUUCAUUUCUGAGUCGUUUGGAUUCUGUAAUUAUUCAUCCUUUUUGACUUUGUUUUACUUUGCAUUAUCAAAAUGCAUAAAGUGGAGACUGGACGGUGGAAAUCCUGCAGGGCACCGAGGCACCUAACGUCAAGGCUUCAGUCCGAAUCGGUCCAAGCAGAGGCCACUCAGGAAAGCAACUGUGCGUGGGACUCCGGUGCCGCACGGCCUGGCACUUCGUCUUCCGUGACUCGCCUGUUUCACGAGUGGGAUCCCAAGCCCAAUACGACAGCCAGGGCAUUGUCCUCACUGACAGCAGGUGGUCGAUCUCAAGCCCAAUACCACAGCCGGGGCGCUGUCCUCACUGACAGCAGGUGGUCACUGGGGAGCAUGCUACUGAGGUGCUGUUCAUCUCCAGGAAAUUAGAUUCUUAACAUCACCUCUCCACGACCUCAGAACUGAGCCCCCACCUCCUACAUUUGGGUUAACGACACCUCUCCACGACCUCAG
rnacentral:lncRNA from 1 species